ACGAGAUAGACAAGGGCUGUGCACCAAGUGUUACGCUCACCCCGCGCCUACCGCUUGAUCAAACUAGCAGAACGGACACAAUGUGCGAAAAUUUGUGGGCUCACCACGAGCAUGUAGUGGCGUGCAUCUAUACGUGGGAAGGGACAUGGAUACGUUCCAUGACCAUCGCGUGCCGCGCAUACAGAUGCCGCCCUAAAGCCGUGCGGCGCAGUUGCAGCUCGUAUUUUCACACUCAGUUUCACUGUUGGAGCAUGAUGUUUGACAUUCUCACUAGCAGGCUGGGCAGCGGCGAUGCUGCGUGUCAAGGAUUGCACAAUUGGUAACGCGAAGCAAAAAUAUUGCCAGAGUUUUCGAUCGUCCUCUUGUCCCACUCUGCUUCCGUUUAGUACCCGACUUCCCUAUGAAUUGUUUAAUGAUACACAGACGUUUGCGUGGCACGCUUGCGCUGUCACUGAGGCUUAUGCGGAUUGCGUUUGUUAAUUUCAUUGCGGCGCCAUAGCACAGCACGUUUUGGGCGCAGGGAGCGCAUCGCGGCAAAGUCACUUUCUAAGUUCGCGCGGGGCCGCCGCUUUCCUUUUCUUUUUCCUCCAAGGGCGCUGCAGAGCAGCGAGACCGAAAACUUGCUGCUGUCCAGCCCUAAAGGGACCAGGUCCUCACCACAGAACACCUAUGUAAACUUACAGACGGAAAACCGUACCUUCCACAGUGCAACAGAAAUAAGAGUGGCGGUGGCGUUGUGAACUUAAGUAUUGGCGGCGAGGAGUUCUGGAGUUGCCAUCUAUCGGAGCGCCUCGCUGGCGUAGUAUGAGGGAUCACGUGGCGCGCUCCUCAUAGGUUUUGCUGUCAGCGCUCACUGAAAACACCACAUGCGAGCUCUCCCGGACAUUUCUGUAAGUACUUUCGAAAGGAUAGCAGUUUCUUGCUGUCUAAGUAAUAAUCUUGGGCAAACUGAAAGCACACAAUCGUUUACAGGCGCUAUCUCUUUACCGAAUACGUACAGUGAACGCUACUGCGUGCGGUCGCUGCGAUGGAGUCUCCCGAACCGGCUUCUUGCGUGAAAGCUUUCCGACACUCCAAGAGGACGUGGAGGACGGUCAGCCUCUCACCACAUCGACCACAGGAAUUUGUUGUCCGCCCAGUUCUACGCAAGGAUCUCGGACCAGGCCUCUCUUCCUUGUGAAGAGGACACAUGAACUCUUGUGGGGGUUGACUUUAAAUCCAUUUUCGUCUGCCCACUUAGAUAUCCUGUUCAAACUCUGCUGUACUUGUCUUUCGCACACUGCAAGGUUACAGGAUUUAAAACCAAUUUGUAUGUCAUCUACGAACACGGAAUAAAAUAUAGCUGGUGGUAAUGAA